AGUGAACGCUGGCGGUAGGCCUAACACAUGCAAGUCGAACGGCAGCACAGUAAGAGCUUGCUCUUACGGGUGGCGAGUGGCGGACGGGUGAGGAAUACAUCGGAAUCUACUUUUUCGUGGGGGAUAACGUAGGGAAACUUACGCUAAUACCGCAUACGACCUACGGGUGAAAGCAGGGGAUCUUCGGACCUUGCGCGAUUGAAUGAGCCGAUGUCGGAUUAGCUAGUUGGCGGGGUAAAGGCCCACCAAGGCGACGAUCCGUAGCUGGUCUGAGAGGAUGAUCAGCCACACUGGAACUGAGACACGGUCCAGACUCCUACGGGAGGCAGCAGUGGGGAAUAUUGGACAAUGGGCGCAAGCCUGAUCCAGCCAUACCGCGUGGGUGAAGAAGGCCUUCGGGUUGUAAAGCCCUUUUGUUGGGAAAGAAAAGCAGCAGGUUAAUACCCCGCUGUUCUGGCGGUACCCAAAGAAUAAGCACCGGCUAACUUCGCG
rnacentral:rRNA from 1 species